rnacentral:rRNA from 1 species
GGGUUGUGAGGUUAAGCGACUAAGCGUACACGGUGGAUGCCCUGGCAGUCAGAGGCGAUGAAGGGCGUGCUAAUCUGCGAUAAGCGCCGGUAAGGUGAUAUGAACCGUUAUAACCGGCGAUACCCGAAUGGGGAAACCCAGUGUGACUCGUCACACUAUCAUUAACUGAAUCCAUAGGUUAAUGAGGCGAACCGGGGGAACUGAAACAUCUAAGUACCCCGAGGAAAAGAAAUCAACCGAGAUUCCCCCAGUAGCGGCGAGCGAACGGGGAGGAGCCCAGAGCCUGAAUCAGCAUGUGUGUUAGUGGAAGCGUCUGGAAAGGCGCGCGAUACAGGGUGACAGCCCCGUACACAAAAGCGCAUGUGCUGUGAGCUCGAUGAGUAGGGCGGGACACGUGGUAUCCUGUCUGAAUAUGGGGGGACCAUCCUCCAAGGCUAAAUACUCCUGACUGACCGAUAGUGAACCAGUACCGUGAGGGAAAGGCGAAAAGAACCCCGGCGAGGGGAGUGAAAAAGAACCUGAAACCGUGUACGUACAAGCAGUGGGAGCACAGGUUUACCUGUGUGACUGCGUACCUUUUGUAUAAUGGGUCAGCGACUUAUAUUCUGUAGCAAGGUUAACCGUAUAGGGGAGCCGGAGGGAAACCGAGUCUUAAU